GUGGAAAUUGAGCGAGUAGCAAGAAGUUGUUCGGACAUGAAGAGAAAAUUCAGAACAGACCAGCACUCACUCUGAGUUAAUUGCAUAGCAACCAUAGCAACGCAUGUAUUUUCUGAAAAAUCACAAUUUUGGAACUGAAAACUUAAAGAGGUAUAAAAUUAAAACGGUAGAAGAUCUGAAAAAGCUGAAUCACACAGGAAUAGCCCAAUAAUCUGAGAACAUUUUAAAGUUUGAAUGGAGUUUCUAGGUGAAAGUCUGAGGAAGUAGUUAAGUUUCAAAACCAAGCAAGUUUUAGCAGAAUUGUGGAAGUUUUCCAUUCAUUUCAAUGGGACAAAUUAAAGGAAAAAAGUGUAAUAUUUUAAAAAGUAUAAUAGUAAUAAACACCAAAAGAUAUAGCAGUCGAAAGCAGAAGUAGCAGAACAGUUUAGAGUUUGAACGGUGAAAAUCUGCUGAAAACUGAGGGAGUAGUUAAGCGGCAAAAAAACGGAGCAACUAGAAUAAGUAGAAAAAUUUGCAUUUCCUGUGAAAAUGCUGUGUGGAUGCCUUAACGCUGAAGCUGUCUGCUGAAAAGAUGAAAAAGAUGAAAAGUUGCAAAAAGUUGUAUGGUGGUGAAAAAAACAAUGUUGCCUUGAGCAGGAUUCGAACCUGGUCCUCUUGGUCUCAAGGCAGCUACUCAGCUGACUGACCCAAACUCAUUCUCAAAAAGAAGAGGUGGAGAGACGGACAAUUCUGCUGAAAUGAGCAGAAGCUGCUGAGAAUUGUGCUGAUAAGAGGUGAAAAGGCUGCAAAUUUUGCAGAAAAGAGGUGAAUCAGCAGAAUUUGGGCUGAAAAUAGGUGAAAAUUCUCAAAAUUCUGCUGAAAAGAGUUCAAUCAGCAGAAUUUCUGCUGAAAAGAGUUCUGCAGAACUCUUUUCAGAAUUCUGGUGAAAAGAGGUUUUUGCUGGAAACAGCAGAAAAAGCUGGGAUUUGUGCUGAAAAGUGGUGAAAAAAGUGAAAAUUUUGCUGAAAAGGGGUGAAUAAGCUGAAAUUGAGUUAAAAAAGUUUAACUGUUAACUGAAAGAAAUGUUGCCAUAAGCGGGAUUUGAACCCGGGCCUCCCAGUCUGAGAACGGCUGCUCAUCUCACUGAGCUAAAACACAGCUCAGCCCGGCGAGCAGAAAUAAGUGACCACAUUGAUAAUGUGUUCCAUUCAUUUCAAUGGGCAAAAAUAUUGCAAAAAAAAUUCAAUAUCUCAAAAAGUAUAGACGUUAUGAGCACCAAAAGAUAUAGCACACAUUAGCAGAAAGAGCAGAAUUUUUUAAAGUUUGAACUGAGAAAAUCAGCUGAAAACUGAGGGAGUAGUUAAGCGGCAAAGAAAGUGGCAACUUGAAGAAUAAAGUAUAAAGAACUAGAAAAAUUUGCAUUUCCUGCGAAAAUGCUGUGUGGAUGCCUUAAUGCUGAAGCUGUCUGCUCAAAAACUGAAAAAGAUGAAAAGUUGCAAAAAGUUGUAUGGUGGUGAAAAAAAAAAAUUGCCCUGAGCAGGAUUCGAACCUGGCCCUCUAGGUCUCAAGGCAGCAACUUAUCUCACUGAGCUAAACUCACUCUGACAAAGAGGAGGUGGAGAGACGGACAAUUCUGCUGAAAUGAGCAGAAGCUGCUGAGAAUUGUGCUGAUAAGAGGAGAAAAGGCUGAAAAUUUUGCAGAAAAGAGGUGAAUCAGCAGAAUUUCUGCUGAAAAGAGGUAAAGAAGCAGAAAGUUGCGCUGAAAAGACAUGAAUCAGCAGAAUUUUUUGCUCAAAAGUGUUUUUUCCGAAAACAGCUGAGAUUUGUGCUAAUAAGAGGUGAAAAGGCUGAAAAUUUUGCAGAAGAGGUGAAUAAGCAGAAUUUGGCCUUAAAAGAGGUGAAAAUUCUGCUGAAAAGAGUUCAAUCAGCAGAAUUUCAGAGUUCUGCAGAACUCUUUUCAGAAUUCUGCUGAAAAGAGGUUUUUGCUGAAAACAGCAGAAAAAGCUGGGAUUUGUGCUGAAAAGUGGUGAAAAAACUGAAAAUUUGGCUGAAAAGGGGUGAAAAAGCUGAAAUUGAGUUAAAAAAGUUUAACUGUUAACUGAAAGAAAUGUUGCCAUAAGCGGGAUUCGAACCCGGCCCUCCUGGUCUGUGAACGGCUACUCAUCUCACUGAGCUAAAACAUGGCUCAGCCCGGCAAGCAAAACUGGUGAUCACACUGAUAAUGUGGUCCCUGUCAGCAAAAAGGGCCAAAAAUGGCAUAAAAGUUAAUAUCUCAAAAAGUAUAAAAGUUAUCAUCACCAAAAGAUAUAGCAGUCGAAAGCAGAAAUAGCAGAACAGUUUAGAUUUUGA
ensembl:lncRNA